rnacentral:misc_RNA from 1 species
UGUGGGAGCGAGCUUGCUCGCGAAGGCGUCGUGUCAGUCGACCACCAUGUUGCCUGAUACACCGCCAUCGCGAGCAAGCUCGCUCCCACA